AACACAUUUUAAAUGAAGUCCUGUGAGGCUUCGAAGGGUGUAAGCAGCGGUUUGUAACAGGUGAAGUAUAGCUUCACCUCGUUUUCAAGCACCCUUCUACUUAAUGAAGGGUGCUUUUUUGCU
rfam:Bacillus solimangrovi strain GH2-4 NODE_8_length_133311_cov_1.65123_ID_5745, whole genome shotgun sequence.